AUACCUUUCUCGGCCUUUUGGCUAAGAUCAAGUGUAGUAUCUGUUCUUAUCAGUUUAAUAUCUGAUAUGUGGAUCAUCGGUCCACACGGUAUUAAAUUACUUUUUUAAAGGGGAGAAUCCAACACAGUAGCUUGCUACUGGGAUUUUCAUGUGUCGCCCAAGUGUUGCACUAUAGCAUGGGCCUGGCACACCCUAU
rfam:Glycine soja cultivar W05 scaffold1890_42, whole genome shotgun sequence.